rnacentral:rRNA from 1 species
GCGACCCCAGGUCAGGCGGGAUUACCCGCUUGAGUUUAA